UUUGCCCCCAGAAAUUUUGGUGUCACUUUUCCGAUUCUACGGAACGAGUGGUGAAAAGGGAAUCAGGUGUAAAUCCUGAACAGACCCGCUGCUGUAAGCUCCGCCAAAAGUUUUUCCUACAAUACUCAGAUCCACUGUUCCGCUUUGGAGGAAUGGGAAGGGCGUUAGGAAAAUGGAGUAAGUCAGAAGACCUGCCAAAGUUGAAUUCUUGAA
rnacentral:ncRNA from 1 species